rnacentral:rRNA from 1 species
AAUACCCGAUAGUCCUCGAAUGCUGGAAUGCGUCGAGGACGAAAGCUCCGGUGCCUAAGGAUGGGUCUGCGGCCUAUCAGGUAGUAGUGGGUGUAGCGUACCUACUAGCCUACGACGGGUACGGGUUGUGAGAGCAAGAGCCCGGAGAUGGAUUCUGAGACACGAAUCCAGGCCCUACGGGGUGCAGCAGGCGCGAAAACUUUACAAUGCUGGCAACAGCGAUAAGGGAACCUCGAGUGCCAGGUUACAAAUCUGGCUGUCGAGAUGCCUAAAAAGCAUUUCAUAGCAAGGGCCGGGCAAGACCGGUGCCAGCCGCCGCGGUAACACCGGCGGCUCGAGUGGUAACCGUUAUUAUUGGGUCUAAAGGGUCUGUAGCCGGCCGGAUAAGUCUCUUGGGAAAUCUGGCAGCUCAACUGUCAGGCUUUCAGGAGAUACUGUCUGGCUCGAGGCCGGGAGAGGUGAGAGGUACUUCAGGGGUAGGGGUGAAAUCUUGUAAUCCUUGAAGGACCACCAGUGGCGAAGGCGUCUCACCAGAACGGACCUGACGGCAAGGGACGAAAGCUAGGGGCACGAACCGGAUUAGAUACCCGGGUAGUCCUAGCCGUAAACGAUACUCGCUAGGUGUCGGCCACGGUGCGACCGUGGUCGGUGCCGUAGAGAAAGCCGUGAAGCGAGCCACCUGGGAAGUACGGCCGCAAGGCUGAAACUUAAAGGAAUUGGCGGGGGAGCACCACAACGGGUGGAGCUUGCGGUUUAAUUGGAUUCAACGCCGGAAAUCUUACCGGGACCGACAGCAAUAUGAAGGCCAGGCUGAAGACUUUGCCGGAUUAGCUGAGAGGUGGUGCAUGGCCGUCGUCAGUUCGUACUGUGAAGCAUCCUGUUAAGUCAGGCAACGAGCGAGACCCACGCCCACAGUUGCCAGCGUACUCUCCGGAGUGAUGGGUACACUGUGGGGACCGCCGCUGCUAAAGCGGAGGAAGGAAUGGGCAACGGUAGGUCAGUAUGCCCCGAAUAUCCCGGGCUACACGCGAGCUACAAUGGUUGGUACAAUGGGUAUCUACCCCGAGAGGGGAUGGCAAUCUCCUAAAACCAAUCUCAGUUCGGAUUGAGGGCUGCAACUCGCCCCCAUGAAGCUGGAAUCCGUAGUAAUCGCGUUUCAAC